GCAUCCAGCCGUCCCUCAUCAGAUUCUCACACCUGCUGCAUCUCUGCUGUUUACAUUAUAAACAUGUUUAUAACAUAUUUAUGUAUUAAUGUAUGGAAUAGGACACAUUUAUCGGCCAACUGAUUUCUCCACCAGUGGAUUUCUGGGAGCCGAUUUCCUUCAUUUUGGAGGAUCGUGAUCGGCUGAUGGAGCUGAUCUCAUCCCCUGAUCUCAUCAGCAAAGGUUUCAGCAUCAGCCUCUGUCCUUCUGCUCUGCAGUCAGAGGUCAGACUGACUGACCCACCAGGUCUGAACGGGUCAGAGGUCAGACUGACUGACCCACCAGGUCUGAACUCAGUGACCUUCUGCUGCAUUUAGCAACAUUUCAGCCAAAACCAGCAGCUCAGGCUUUUUAAAUAUCGGUAACCAGGAAGCUGCAAUCGGUGCAGCUUCACACAUUCAUGACUCUCUGGUUAAAUUCUCUAAACUCCAAUAGAUUAAGAUGUAAUUUACACCAGGUGAGUCUUUCUGCCCUGCAGGUGGACGGAGGCUGACUGGAUAAAUGAGCCACUUUUUAUUCCUCAUCAGUGGGUCACAUGACAUGUAGGCUAUUAAACACCAAUCAUUUUUAUAUGCAAAUUUAAAUUACUUUAAAAUGCAAAGAUGUGUAGAAUGGGUGGCCUGAUCCCUCCCAGUAGAACCAUUUCAUACUGGUUUUGAGUCCACAGGUCACAUGACUAUUGAAGAAAACAUUUAAUAUUAAAACUGUUUAUUAUUGAA